rnacentral:lncRNA from 1 species
CCCAAAUUCAUUCUCAACCAACGAUUAACACAUGCUUCGAUUAUCAAUUUCACUUUUCAAAGUCCAAAACCAACACAUAACAAAUAUUCAAACAUACCAAACAUACAAAUUAUUCAUGAUUACGUAAAAUUAAGAGGAGCAAGGAUAGAAUUGGACCGUCCGAAUAUCGAUUUCCGUUGAUAAUAAUAUUUAAGAAAAUUCGAAUCCGAAAGCCUGAAUAGAAAACCUCAACAAUAACAACUCCAACUCGGUAACGCAGAACUGAAAUCCGAAACUGACCAACCCGAUUGAGACGAGUAGAAAUCAAGUUCCCAAAAUAUACGAGCAACUGAAGCGUCCGAAACAGAAAUCGCAACAAAGAACCAAACCCGAACGUGAUUUUGUAGGAAAACAAUUCGAACAGGCCGAUUCUACUAGAAAUUGGUUGCUGGUUAUUAUUUUUAGACGGCUAAGACUGAAAUUCGAGCUGGCAGCGUUUGAAUCCGUCGAACAGCAGUAGUAUCCGGCGAGUUUUAACGGAAAACUGGGAAAAAGAACUGAUUAUUGUCUUAAAUUCGGAUCGACUUGGGGUUGGGGUCGCUGUUUCACGUCGCCGGAGCUCCGACGAUCUCAGACAAUGGCGAGAACCACGAAAGCAGACCGGAUUCAGGUCAUACUCAGGCAAAAUUCGCCGAAACAGUACCCCUUUCCGAUUCUCUCCUUCGUUCUCAGAUCAUCUCUCUUGAGUCUCCCUUAAGUUCUCUCCUCUCCCUCGCGAUCUCCCUGUUGGUCUCUCUGUGUGUGAUUUUUGUGUGAUGGUGUGUUUCUCCGGUGUGAAUGGAUGAAGGUGGUUGUGUGUGCUACUGUGUGCGUGUAUGUGAUCUGGUAUCUGAGAGAGGUGCGCGUGGAGAGUGUGUGAUGGUGAGAGGAUUAUCGUUGAAGAUGAGUGCUCCUGUGUAUUCUGUGUGCUAAUGGACCAAGAAAAAAUGGAGGAUCUCCAUUGUUGUGGGAAGAAUCCGUGUCAAUAUGGUGAUGGAGGUGUAUUUUUUUUUAGUGGUGGGGCCCGUGGCUGUAUAUAUUGUUGUGAAUUCUUCCCUUUUUUUUUUGAUCUUUUGUGAAUUCAUAAAAAAACGUGAGAAAG